UACGUAGGGGGCUAGCGUUGUCCGGAUUUAUUGGGCGUAAAGAGCUCGUAGGCGGUGUGUCGCGUCGGCCGUGAAAACCUGCAGCUUAACUGUGGGCUUGCGGUCGAUACGGGCAUCACUGGAGUUCGGCAGGGGAGACUGGAAUUCCUGGUGUAGCGGUGAAAUGCGCAGAUAUCAGGAAGAACACCCGUGGCUAAGGCGGUUCUCUAGUACGGUACUGGCGCUGAGACGCGAAAGCGUGGGGAGCGAACAGG
rnacentral:rRNA from 1 species